rnacentral:tRNA from 1 species
GGAUGAAUGGCUGAGUGGUUGAAAGCAUCAAUUUUGAAAAUUGACAUAAUAUUUAUCGUGGGUUCGAAUCCUACUUCAUCCG